rnacentral:sRNA from 1 species
CGUUGCGUGCUCGCUCGCGCCAGGCGAGUCUCCGCGUCUCCCUCGCGAACUCGGUGAAAGGAAUUGGCGCCGUUCGACAGCAGGCGGAUCCGCUCUGCAGCACGAACCCAUCUCCAGCCGCAGCCGCAGCCGCCGCCCCGGCCGAGGAGCAGCCGCAGCAGCCGCCACCAGUGGCCGAGUGAGCGGAGCCGAGUUUGAGGCAGCGCCUAGCGGUGAAUCGGGGCCCUCACCAUGAGUUCCUCGCCUGUUAAUGUAAAAAAGCUGAAGGUGUCGGAGCUGAAAGAGGAGCUCAAGAAGCGACGCCUUUCUGACAAGGGUCUCAAGGCCGAGCUCAUGGAGCGACUCCAGGCUGCGCUGGACGACGAGGAGGCCGGGGGCCGCCCCGCCAUGGAGCCCGGGAACGGCAGCCUAGACCUGGGCGGGGAUUCCGCUGGGCGCUCGGGAGCAGGCCUCGAGCAGGAGGCCGCGGCCGGCGGCGAUGAAGAGGAGGAGGAAGAGGAAGAGGAGGAGGAAGGAAUCUCCGCUCUGGACGGCGACCAGAUGGAGCUAGGAGAGGAGAACGGGGCCGCGGGGGCGGCCGACUCGGGCCCGAUGGAGGAGGAGGAGGCCGCCUCGGAAGACGAGAACGGCGACGAUCAGGGUUUCCAGGAAGGGGAAGAUGAGCUCGGGGACGAAGAGGAAGGCGCGGGCGACGAGAACGGGCACGGGGAGCAGCAGCCUCAACCGCCGGCGACGCAGCAGCAACAGCCCCAACAGCAGCGCGGGGCCGCCAAGGAGGCCGCGGGGAAGAGCAGCGGCCCCACCUCGCUGUUCGCGGUGACGGUGGCGCCGCCCGGGGCGAGGCAGGGCCAGCAGCAGGCGGGAGGUAAGAAGAAGGCGGAAGGCGGCGGAGGCGGCGGUCGCCCCGGGGCUCCGGCGGCGGGGGACGGCAAAACAGAACAGAAAGGCGGAGAUAAAAAGAGGGGUGUUAAAAGACCACGAGAAGAUCAUGGCCGUGGAUAUUUUGAGUACAUUGAAGAGAACAAGUAUAGCAGAGCCAAAUCUCCUCAGCCACCUGUUGAAGAAGAAGAUGAACACUUCGAUGACACAGUGGUUUGUCUUGAUACUUGUAAGUGAAGCUGUUUCUCCCCAAUUAUGAAAUGCGGUGAUGGUGGUUUUUUUUUUUUUUUUUUUUUUUGGUUCCAGAAUGUUAGAAAACUUAAUGCUUAAGUGCAGCAAAACUUGGGUUAGUUUUUUUAAAAGCAGGAAGAUAAUGGUUUACAUUCAGAACCUAGUAGUUUAAUAUUUAGCACGUCAUCAGUUGUAUUAAGUGGAUUAUUUUACAGGCUCUAGGAGUUUCGUAUUUUUAUGAAUUGAAAGUUCUCAUUCUUAGGAAAUGUAAAAUUAAUGCCAGUUUUUGAUUAGCUAACGGAAACUUGUAACACUACCUAUGAUUUAGCCUUACAGGCUUCUACAAUAAAGUAAUUCAUUUUUUUGUGGAAUUAUAUUAAGUGAGCUAUUUGGGCUAGUUAAAUAUUUACUAAUGACUUCUCCCAUUAGCACACAAGUAUAUUCCCUAUUUUAAAAGAUUGUAAUAUUACUUUUUCAAUAACUGCUCUUUUGUUCUCAAUUCCAGUUCAGUAGCUGCUGCUUUAAACAUAAGUUGAUUUCUUCCAAAGACCUGAGGCAGCAGCAGUGGGCUAUCACUGGGCCACUAGCUUUCUUCAGCAGCGAAUGGUAUCAAUGGCAGUGCAGCACUGUAAAUAAAUACUGCUACUUUACCCAGUUGGGUUGCAAUUGAGUGAGAAAGUAUCGCAAACCUCUAAGUGGGCUUUGACUGUCAGACUUGUUUUUUUUUUGUUGUUGUUACAAAAAAACGUAGUUGGUUUAGUGAUGAGAAUGUACAACUCUGGGUGUGAUAAAUAGACCAAAGGAUAAAAAUAACUGUUUCAAAAGUAUCAGCUAUGGUGUCAGCCUGCUGUGUUAGAUGGAAGGCAUUGGAGCUUAGCUUCUCAUGUUUUCUUGUACAAAUUGGCUUUAUUCAGAUUUGUAAGAGUGUCAAUGUAAAAGUCUUUCUUACUGGAAUAUCCUUUACAGAAGGUUGAGAUAGUCAUCUGAGCCUUUUUAAAAGAAAAAACUGCAGGUGAAAAAGGAGUUAGUUGAUUUGAAAGUUUUAGUGAAAUUCUGGGUUGUAUAAAUAAGAAGUUGCUAGGAAUUGGCAAGGUAGUGAAGUGGUGACUCACACAGGUAAUGUAAUUGUUAGAUUUUUUAGCAAAUCAGGAAUAUGUCAAUAUAUAAGUACAAUGUUGAAUUCAAACAAUCUGUUGAAUUAAAUUCUGUUAAUUAGAAUAAUUCUAAUUUAAGAAAAAUUCCAAACUGUAGAUUUAUUUUUCUCUGAUCAGUAAAAAGAAAAUGAGUUCCAGCUUGACUUUAGCUGUUCAAGUGAGAAGUCUGAGGAAGUGCAUGUUAAUGAGCCAGUGACCCAUAGGUAGCUGGGUUAAAGACACUUUGGAUUUGGAUAAUCCGGGAAGCAAUUAAUCCCUAAUUGUUGAACAGGCAGUCCUGGGUAAAGAGGACCUAAAAUGCUGCACUAUUAACAGCAUUAGACGGCCAGGUUUGUACUUCAUAGAUUUAGGCUGUCUUCUUCACAAGUUUUAGAAAAAGAAUUUAGGAGCUAGAGCCCUGGUGCAGGAUCAACAGCAGCUCAUACUCCUAUUUUAAAAUAAUUUGAUCGUGGCCUCCCUUCAGUUUUAAUGUGGCACUGGUAAAUCUACCUGGUUCUGGCAUGCUUCACUUUGAUUUCCUGCUAUCCUCUACUGCUUGCCUCUAAAUCAAGGUAAAGAGCAGAGCAGGUAUGUAUUAAUGUCACAUUGUCUUGAUUAUUUUAAAUACUUAAAAUAUACAUGUUAAACCUUGGUAUUAGUUUCACAGGCAGUUUACUUUUCAGUACAUAAUUUAACAGGAGUGACUUGGUGGGAGUGGGGCUUUAAACUGAAAAUUGGAACAACAGCAUGAUGUGGAGAAAAGUUGUGCAGCAUUAAGUACAUGCAAAAAUUAAGUAACCAAGUUUUGUCUAUAUAGCAGAUAUGUUUACAUUGGAUGUCAAAAGUAACACAGUAUUUGAUAUAAUUACAGAUAAUUGUGAUCUACAUUUUAAAAUAUCAAGAGAUCGUCUCAGUGCUUCUUCCCUUACAAUGGAGAGUUUUGCUUUUCUUUGGGCUGGAGGAAGAGCAUCCUAUGGUGUGUCAAAAGGCAAAGUGUGUUUUGAGAUGAAGGUUACAGAGAAGAUCCCAGUAAGGCAUUUAUAUACAAAAGAUAUUGACAUACAUGAAGUUCGUAUUGGCUGGUCACUAACUACAAGUGGAAUGUUACUUGGUGAAGAAGAAUUUUCUUAUGGGUAUUCUCUAAAAGGAAUAAAAACAUGCAACUGUGAGACUGAAGAUUAUGGAGAAAAGUUUGAUGAAAAUGAUGUGAUUACAUGUUUUGCUAACUUUGAAAGUGAUGAAGUAGAACUCUCGUAUGCUAAGAAUGGACAAGAUCUUGGCGUUGCCUUCAAAAUCAGUAAGGAAGUUCUUGCUGGACGGCCACUGUUCCCGCAUGUUCUCUGCCACAACUGUGCAGUUGAAUUUAAUUUUGGUCAGAAGGAAAAGCCAUAUUUUCCAAUACCUGAAGAGUAUACUUUCAUCCAGAACGUCCCCUUAGAGGAUCGAGUUAGAGGACCAAAGGGGCCUGAAGAGAAGAAAGAUUGUGAAGUUGUGAUGAUGAUUGGCUUGCCAGGAGCUGGAAAAACUACCUGGGUUACUAAACAUGCAGCAGAAAAUCCAGGGAAAUAUAACAUUCUUGGCACAAAUACUAUUAUGGAUAAGAUGAUGGUGGCAGGUUUUAAGAAGCAAAUGGCAGAUACUGGAAAACUGAACACACUGUUGCAGAGAGCCCCCCAGUGUCUUGGGAAAUUUAUUGAGAUUGCUGCCCGAAAGAAGCGAAAUUUUAUUCUGGAUCAGACAAAUGUGUCUGCUGCUGCCCAGAGGAGAAAAAUGUGCCUGUUUGCAGGCUUCCAGCGAAAAGCUGUUGUAGUUUGCCCAAAAGAUGAAGACUAUAAGCAAAGAACACAGAAGAAAGCAGAAGUAGAGGGGAAAGACCUACCAGAACAUGCGGUCCUCAAAAUGAAAGGAAACUUUACCCUCCCAGAGGUAGCUGAGUGCUUUGAUGAAAUAACCUAUGUUGAACUUCAGAAGGAAGAAGCCCAAAAACUCUUGGAGCAAUAUAAGGAAGAAAGCAAAAAGGCUCUUCCACCAGAAAAGAAACAGAACACUGGCUCAAAGAAAAGCAAUAAAAAUAAGAGUGGCAAGAACCAGUUUAACAGAGGUGGUGGCCAUAGAGGACGUGGAGGAUUCAAUAUGCGUGGUGGAAAUUUCAGAGGAGGAGCCCCUGGGAAUCGUGGCGGAUAUAAUAGGAGGGGCAACAUGCCACAGAGAGGUGGUGGCGGUGGAGGAAGUGGUGGAAUCGGCUAUCCAUACCCUCGUGCCCCUGUUUUUCCUGGCCGUGGUAGUUACUCAAACAGAGGGAACUACAACAGAGGUGGAAUGCCCAACAGAGGGAACUACAACCAGAACUUCAGAGGACGAGGAAACAAUCGUGGCUACAAAAAUCAAUCUCAGGGCUACAACCAGUGGCAGCAGGGUCAAUUCUGGGGUCAGAAGCCAUGGAGUCAGCAUUAUCACCAAGGAUAUUAUUGAAUACCCAAAUAAAACGAACUGAUACAUAUUUCUCCAAAACCUUCACAAGAAGUCGACUGUUUUCUUUAGUAGGCUAACUUUUUAAACAUUCCACAAGAGGAAGUGCCUGCGGGUUCCUUUUUUAGAAGCUUUGUGGGUUGAUUUUUUUUCUUUUCUUUUUUGUACAUUUUUAAUUGCAGUUUAAAAGUGAAUCGUAAGAGAACCUCAGCAUUGUGCACGAUAAGAGAAUGUGUCAGUAUUUCAGGGUUCUACAUUUUAUCUGUAAAAUGUGACUUUUUUUUUUUUUUUUAUCACAACAGAAGUAAAAUGUUGCUUUGUACCUGGUGUCUUUUAUUAAGAAUUUACUCCCCCCAUUUCUCACAGAGAAUAACAGUCGGGAGUCAUUGUCACAAUAUAAUAGAAAUGUUAGCAACCAGAUUCAUGUAAGGACUAAGUGGUCCUCAUGAAUUGCAUUAAGACUCUGUACUGCUCAUAUUACACUCCAUCCUCUCUGUAGUUUGCUGGGUAGUGGAGGGGUUAAGCUAAAUCAUAGUUUCUGACAAUAACUGGGAAGGUUUUUUCUUAAAAUAACAAUGGAAUUGGUAUAAUUGGGAUUGAAAACUAAAACUUGGAACUAAGAUAGAGAAGAUGGAGUGUAUGUAGAAGGGCUGUUAAAAAUGUAAAACUUGGUUGCAUUAUUUGUGGAGGCUCAAACUUGUGAAGGUUAAUACCAUAAUUUUUCCAUUUGUUCUGCAUUUUGAUUCUGAAAAGAAAGCUGGCUUUGCCCAUUUCUUAUUAAAAAAACUUGUUGUAAAUCCAGUUGUCUAAUGGGAUCUAUAUGAAGUUAGCCAUGUCUGUAUGCCCUUCUCCCACAAAAUACUGUAUAACUAGUGUGCUUGUAGUAGUUAACUCCACCAUCUUUGUAAGCUAAUGAAAUUGUGAGUCACCCAUUUAUAUCUUAAUUUUUAAUCAUGUCAGUUCUUGAAUGGGUAUCUCCUUAGCCUGC